UGCAGUCGAGCGGAAACGACUUAACUGAACCUUCGGGGGACGUUAAGGGCGUCGAGCGGCGGACGGGUGAGUAAUGCCUGGGAAUAUGCCUUAGUGUGGGGGAUAACUAUUGGAAACGAUAGCUAAUACCGCAUAAUGUCUUCGGACCAAAGAGGGGGACCUUCGGGCCUCUCGCGCUAAGAUUAGCCCAGGUGAGAUUAGCUAGUUGGUGAGGUAAGAGCUCACCAAGGCGACGAUCUCUAGCUGGUCUGAGAGGAUGAUCAGCCACACUGGAACUGAGACACGGUCCAGACUCCUACGGGAGGCAGCAGUGGGGAAUAUUGCACAAUGGGCGAAAGCCUGAUGCAGCCAUGCCGCGUGUAUGAAGAAGGCCUUCGGGUUGUAAAGUACUUUCAGUAGGGAGGAAGGUGUUGUAGUUAAUAGCUGCAGCAUUUGACGUUACCUACAGAAGAAGCACCGGCUAACUCCGUGCCAGCAGCCGCGGUAAUACGGAGGGUGCGAGCGUUGAUCGGAAUUACUGGGCGUAAAGCGCAUGCAGGUGGUUCAUUAAGUCAGAUGUGAAAGCCCGGGGCUCAACCUCGGAACCGCAUUUGAAACUGGUGAACUAGAGUGCUGU
rnacentral:rRNA from 1 species